rnacentral:pre_miRNA from 1 species
UUCAUACUCCCUCCGUCCCAAAAAACUUGUCCCUCAAAUGGAUGUAUUUAGCAUCAAGUUAGUGCUAGAUACAUUCAUUUGAGGAACAAGAUUGGGACAAGCUUUUCCGCACGGGGAGGGAGUAUGUU